rnacentral:tRNA from 1 species
UCAGGGGUUAGUUUAUAAUAAAAUAUUAACUUUGGGAGUUAAAGAUAGAAGAUAUUUUACCUCUGAA